rnacentral:lncRNA from 10 species
UCCCACACACUGGCUGUGAACUUGUUCCCAACAAAUGAGUCUGUGGGUUGGGAAUGUCAUCUAUCUGAGCAGAUAUCUGCCCAUAUACUAUCUCAGUACCAGCAAAACUCUGAGCCUAAAGGUGACACAUGGCCAAGGGCUGCUCUGCUGUUAACCAUGCACAAUCGAUGGCAGCAAAGGUUGAAGUGAGCAUAAUCUGCAACCUUUCCAUGGAAGUCUUAAACCUUUCUCACAGUGGUUCUGCCCAUUGUCAGACAAUUAUAUUGGAGAAAGGUUUUCAUUUUCAUAGCAUGUUCAGAUUUUGGAGGGAAAUGCAAAGAGCAGUGAAGGAGGAAAGGCAAACCCUUCCUCCCAGGCUUCAACAGAGUCAACCCGGGAAUCAAUGAGAUGACAGAUGUUGGAGACAGAUGCCUGAAUAUCCACUCAAUAGUCAGGCUUAAUGAACUAACACAGGAAGAGCAAUUAGAGAAUUCAUUAAUUAUACUCUAAGUUCACUUUCAUUGUUAAUUCUAAUCCUUUAUUUGGGCUAAUGACUUCAGCUUUUCUUAUAAUAAUUUGUGCCCGUCAGUGAAUGAUAACAUCUUCAAAUUUCCAUAAUUGUGUAAAAUUCAAACUAUAUGUGUAGCUCUAAAUUGGACCUAAAGUAGCUUCUAAGGGUACAUAAGACACUUCAAGAUAACAUAAAUGAGGAGAAAAACAAAAAGCCAGAAAAUGCAUGACACAGGAGAAGAUGUACCCUCAUCUGUUCAGUGAGAGAUGUGC